GACGAACGCUGGCGGCGUGCUUAACACAUGCAAGUCGAACGGAAAGGCCCUGCUUUUGUGGGGUGCUCGAGUGGCGAACGGGUGAGUAACACGUGAGUAACCUGCCCUUGACUUUGGGAUAACUUCAGGAAACUGGGGCUAAUACCGGAUAGGAGCUCCUGUUGCAUGGUGGGGGUUGGAAAGUUUCGGCGGUUGGGGAUGUACUUGCGGCUUAUCAGCUUGUUGGUGGGGUAGUGGCUUACCAAGGCUUUGACGGGUAGCCGGCCUGAGAGGGUGACCGGCCACAUUGGGACUGAGAUACGGCCCAGACUCCUACGGGAGGCAGCAGUGGGGAAUAUUGCACAAUGGGCGGAAGCCUGAUGCAGCAACGCCGCGUGCGGGAUGACGGCCUUCGGGUUGUAAACCGCUUUCGCCUGUGACGAAGCGUGAGUGACGGUAAUGGGUAAAGAAGCACCGGCUAACUACGUG
rnacentral:rRNA from 1 species